UUGUCUCAUUAGCAAUCACGUGACAUCUUCGUUUAUCUUCGCUUAUCUUUUUUGAUACCUUUUUAAUCAUUUUCUAUUCAUUAUUAGACAAGCUUCAAUGAUGAGUCUUCUGUAGAUGAACAUGAUGAGUCUUCUGUAGAUGAAACACGUGUCAGGUGUACACAAUUUCAAUUCCUGGUGUAUAUGAUGAGUUUAUGCACAAAUGUCAACAUUACAAAAAUGUGUGAAACUAUGAUAAACAUGGUCACCCAAUAAGAUGUCAAUUAAGGAUUAUGUACCCUUGUGUUGAUUCAAUGCUAAACAUAUGGAAAUUUUAUAGAAAAUCAACAGCCUUUAUCCUUGUACUCUCAUAUUUGGCAAUUUGAUGACUGAUAGCUAUAGGAUUAUUGCAUGCAGCUCUAGCAUUGAUUUCCUUAAAACAAGUUUAUUAAUGUACUUUUUAGCUGAAAAAAAUAAAAAUAUGGACCAAAUCAAGUACACUUUUUAGUGUGCGCUCGACUUUUGUGACUCAGGUCGAGGUAUUUUAGAAUUUACAGGUUGGUAAGAACUUUUUGUAAAAAAUAAACACUGGCACAUCUUAGAAAAGCAGGUGAGUAAUCUAUGUUUGAAAUUUUAUAACAAAAAUCUCUGUAUUAAAGGCUGUGGAUUUUCUAUAAAGUACACUUUGCCACAAAGUACUCUUUUUCUAUUAAAUGCAAUGAAACAAUAAAUAAUAAUGCUUUGCGUCAAGUUUCCCCUUCAGGCUUGGUAUACGUACAAAAUGGCAUAUCUCUAUUAUUCAUUAUAUCUGUAGUUUUGAUACAGUUGAAGUUUGAAAAGUUCGUACAAAAAUGGCCACAGAAGGGGUCAUAAACCUUAACUGUUUAUUUUAAACUACUCAUAAAUUGCAAUAAAUGUCGAUAUUACAAAUGUUUAUAUUCGAGAUGGUAUGUUAUAAAAUACUUCACUAUAACUAAUGUGCAGUAUUUUUGUUUUUAAAUAUACUAGGAAGUCUUCCUUGUACACUUAACCAACGUAUCACUUGAAAAAUUG
rnacentral:lncRNA from 1 species